rnacentral:rRNA from 1 species
GACGAACGCUGGCGGCGUGCUUAACACAUGCAAGUCGAACGGAAAGGCCCUGCUUUUGUGGGGUGCUCGAGUGGCGAACGGGUGAGUAACACGUGAGUAACCUGCCCUUGACUUUGGGAUAACUUCAGGAAACUGGGGCUAAUACCGGAUAGGAGCUCCUGCUGCAUGGUGGGGGUUGGAAAGUUUCGGCGGUUGGGGAUGGACUCGCGGCUUAUCAGCUUGUUGGUGGGGUAGUGGCUUACCAAGGCUUUGACGGGUAGCCGGCAUGAGAGGGUGACCGGCCACAUUGGGACUGAGAGACGGCCCAGACUCCUACGGGAGGCAGCAGUGGGGAAUAUUGCACAAUGGGCGGAAGCCUGAUGCAGCAGCGCCGCGUGCGGGAUGACGGCCUUCGGGUUGUAAACCGAUUUCGCCUGAGACGAAGCGUGAGUGACGGUAAUGGGUAAAGAAGCACCGGCUAACUACGUG